GGGGACUGACGCCCGGCCCGGCCCGGCCCGCACGCCCGGCCCGGAGACGCGAUCAGCCGGCCCCAUCCGCACUCCGGCGUCCCCGCGCUCCCCCGGUCUCGGGACGCACGGCGGGAGAGCUGGGCUGACGGCGGCCCCGCCCCUCCAGCUGCAGGCCAAUGGGUGACAGGCCCGCCCCUGUCGACCGCGCAGAGGCCAAUCAGGGAGUUCAGCGCGGGAGUGGUCCCGCCUCCCGCGUGGCCCAGCCCCCGACGCCUGGCCUUGUGCAGUGUCGGCGAAGAUCUGCGGAGGGCGUGGUCUUUGGUAUUCUCCCCACCAAACGCAUCAGAAGCCCUGCUGAGGAUCUGAUCCUGUAGAUCAGGCAUGGCAAAGGCGCUGUGGUCACUGGGAGUGGCUCCAUGGGGUCGCCCACGAAGCUUGGGUGCCUCAGCGCCCCUGCCAGCUGGCCUCCUGCCCCUCCUGCCUCCCAGGAGCACCCCAUCUCCCGGGACCACUCUGCGGAUAGACAGAUGGACACAUCCCUGGCCUUCAGGUGACAGAGUGGCCCUCAGGGCCUCCUAA
rnacentral:lncRNA from 1 species